GCACAGAGCCCACUUUGGAUCCUCUGUCCCUUUCUCUCUGUCCCUGCCCCACUUGUGCUCUCAAAAAUAAAUAAAUAUUAAAAAAAAAAAGAUAACCUUCCCUAAACAUCAUUUUUCUCUGCUGGGCCUGUAUAGGUGAUGAAUGACAGGCAAUUCAAGGUAACAGUCUCUGAUAAAGGGCCAGAAGACCAGCAUCCCACAGACGAUUUAUUCCAAGAGCAAGGAAAACAUCAGAACCAAUUCUCACUGCUAUUCAUUACUACGUGCUUAGAAUGUGCCAGGCACCAGCUUCACAUAAACUGUCUGCUUUGAUCAGGUCAAUGACUCUGAGGCAGGUAACAGUGUUACGGAACCAGGCUGGAACGCUGGCGGAAAAGCCAAGUGGCCCUCAGAGAUCUUGAUGAAGAUUUAUUUUACACCGGCGGGCUCAGAGGAGACUGUUUCUCCAAAGGUCUGGGGGUGGGACUAGAAAUUCCAGUCCUGUCAUCAGCUGGCCCAAUCUCAGAUCUGACCCACAAAAGAAGAAGCAAACAGAGAGGAGACGAGUAACUCAGGAAAAAGAAGAAGGCAUGUGUGUGACCUUGGCAACAACCUGUUUUCAAGAGAACCAAGGGGAGCACAUAGAGAACACGACAGAACACAGGCAAGUGAUGGAUAAACAGAAGUAGAAGGGCCUGAGGCAGCUGAGCCGAUGGUGGAUUGAGGGGUGCAGGGUGGGGAGAGGGAUGUCCUUGGCCCUGCUAAAUGAGUAUGGACAGAACAGGAUUUUAGUACAGGGCCAUAAAGUCCUGACCAUAUGGGAUUUCGGUCCAUUUUUCCGGUCAGACUUUCCCAUCCGCUAGUUUGUGUUGAGGCCAACAGUAUUAACAAAAGAGGCCAACCUUGGAAGGAAGCAUACAAGGUGUCCUUUUUAAGCCUUUCCCCAUGUCGACUGAAAGAGAGAGCAGGAGAAAGUGACUGAGCAGCUCUCCAGCACAAGGCAGACAAGGAUUGGAGAUAUGGAUGGAGAGGGCCCCUCAACCUGCUGUCACCUUGUCUCUUCAUCGUUGCCAAAAAGAUGUUGCCAGGUGAACUGGGGAGACCCCGGGCCCUGGGGCUUGACCCAGCCAGACCCAAAGAAGUCACCAAAGGCUCUUGGUCAUGUCACAAGAAAGAAUUCAAGGACAUACAUGCAGCACAGCAGGAAAGUUUAUUAAAGCGAAAAGUACACUCUG